rnacentral:lncRNA from 1 species
AAAAGGGAUUUGCGCUGGUGGGGCUGCUAGAACUCGUCCAUAAAGUUGGACGAGGCUGGGCUGCUGCGUUUCCUCGGAGAAGGCGGCGGCGGCGGCAAGUUUCACGGCGGCUCCUCCCCUCAGGUGGAGGCAGCGCUAGGCAACUGGAAGCAGCCGCAGCCACGGUAGCAGAAGCGGCGGCGGCGGCGGCGGCUCCCGCUUCUUUCCUCUGUGCUGGACAGCACCUCGCCUGCCGGGCAGCGGCUUUUGGCUCUUCGGGUAGGGGGCCGGGAGACGGGGGGAGAAAAACCUGAGGUGAGUUCAAGGGACGCGCCCUAGGGCGGGAAGGUCAGCCUGUCAGGGGCGCGCAGGUGGGCAGGGUUGGGCUGAGGAGCAUGUGUGGCUGAAGACAGGAUGGGAAGGAGCCCGCUAAUGCGGAGAGUCAAAUGAUGCCAUGGGUGAAGAAGAAGGGAGUGUCAGAUUAGCUGGUCGAAAGAUUUGGAUUUUAACGAUAACUCUGAUGGUCUGGAGUGACUGUGGAAAUGGACAAGGUCAAGUGAUGAAUGAUUCCUUCCUAAGCAAACAGCGAAUGGAGAAAGUGAGGGAAAAGAUGUAAGGGGAGAAGACUGUGGAAAAUAACUUGUGGAAAUGCUAUCAUCAGAAAGACGGAGGGAAAUUACAGUGCUUGAACUUCUUUUCAUUUUGAUGCUGCUCUUCUCUGGACCGACUCUCAGCAAGCUAAGUAGGACCAAAGGCAAACACUGGAAGGGAGGUAAGUGAUAAAAGUUUUAUAAGGGGUGUUGAUUGAAAACAAGCAGGGUUCAUAUUUGACCUCUGGACAAUAAACAUGUUCCUGUGAAAGGAUCGAAGUCUUAA